rnacentral:lncRNA from 1 species
UAACUUGUUUUGGUUUUAUCAGUACUCCAUCUGAUUCUGUUGCUAUUAUUAUUUUUCAACUGUUCUAAAGGGAGUUGCCAGGUUAUGUACAUGAGUUAUUAUUCUGAGCUUCUUACUUUUGUAUGUAUGGGUACUGUAUAUUAUAUGCCUGAUUUCAUUGAUAGGAAUUAAGGCAGAUUUACAUCUUCAUUCUUGCUUAGACUUGCUUUAAUUUAUAACAACAAUUGGAUACUUUUUCAUCUCGCAAGAGUCAAAUCAACAUUUUGUG